UACGGAGGAUGCGAGCGUUAUCCGGCUUUAUUGGGUUUAAAGGGUGCGUAGGCGGACUGUCAAGUCAGCGGUAAAAUACGGGGGCUCAACCCCUUCCCGCCAUUGAAACUGGCGAUCUUGAGUGGAAGAGAAGUAUGCGGAAUGCGUGGUGUAGCGGUGAAAUGCAUAGAUAUCACGCAGAACCCCGAUUGCGAAGGCAGCAUACCGGCGCCCGACUGACGCUGAGGCACGAAAGCGUGGGGAUCGAACAGG
rnacentral:rRNA from 1 species